UUCAGUGUUCCUGGGAAUGCUCUGCAGAGAAUGUCAUCCCUUGAUGUGGCCCACUGCAUUGCCCCUACGAACAUAUUUAUGUGGUCUGCUGGGUCCAUUUUCCCAUCGUAAACCUGGAGCCUGGGUAGCCUAAACUUUGGAGGUGCUGGUUUUACCAUCAGUGAUUUGUGCAAAGCAUCCAUGCCUACCAGCCAAUUUGGGACCUCACCUCCUUCUUCUGUGUCUCCCGUACUUUCUUCCUGUACGGGUUUUCUGAA
rnacentral:lncRNA from 1 species